AAUAAGUUAGUCCUCUUGAUUGAUGCAAGGAAGAAGUAUCAUGGAAGGUUGGUUACCUUCUCUAUGUAUUUGAUAUUGUUAUCAUUAUCGACUUAUGUUUUUAUAUUACACUAUACUUUGAGUAGGAUGUUUAAGGGUAUUUCAAAAUUUUUAUUAACAAUUAGAUCUUGUUUCUAAGUGUUAAUUACUAACAAAAUUUU
rnacentral:lncRNA from 1 species